rnacentral:misc_RNA from 1 species
CCUCCGCCACAAAUUCUUUCUCGAGCCUCUCAUCAAAUGCUUUACUGUUCCAAAUCCUCUUAGCAGCAACAAAUUCUCCCGCAUGGUUCACAUCGAUGCGGUAUACCUUUCCUGACCCUCCACUUCCAAUCAGAUUAUUUUCUGUCAAACUUGCCAAAAUAUUUGCUUCUGUGAAAUCCACUUUCUGGAAUGAGGUCAGCUUCCAUGUUGCCAGAUCACGUUUUUGCUUCUUUCUCUGAUAGUCUCUAAAUGCAAGCAAGGUUAAUAUAGCAGCACCUAUGAAAAUAGCUAUGGCAAGAACCAGAAUCAUGGCAAGAAAUUUAGAGGACAGUUUUUUGGAACUGCGGGGUCUAAUAUAGCAAUUUGGAAGGUUUAGA